AACGGAAAGGCCCCUUCGGGGGUACUCGAGUGGCGAACGGGUGAGUAACACGUGGGUGAUCUGCCCUGCACUUUGGGAUAAGCCUGGGAAACUGGGUCUAAUACCGAAUAGGACUCCGGACUGCAUGGUCUGGGGUGGAAAGCUUUUGCGGUGUGGGAUGGGCCCGCGGCCUAUCAGCUUGUUGGUGGGGUGAUGGCCUACCAAGGCGACGACGGGUAGCCGGCCUGAGAGGGUGUCCGGCCACACUGGGACUGAGAUACGGCCCAGACUCCUACGGGAGGCAGCAGUGGGGAAUAUUGCACAAUGGGCGCAAGCCUGAUGCAGCGACGCCGCGUGAGGGAUGACGGCCUUCGGGUUGUAAACCUCUUUCGCCAGGGACGAAGCGCAAGUGACGGUACCUGGAGAAGAAGCACCGGCCAACUACGUGCCAGCAGCCGCGGUAAUACGUAGGGUGCGAGCGUUGUCCGGAAUUACUGGGCGUAAAGAGCUCGUAGGUGGUUUGUCGCGUUGUUCGUGAAAACUCACAGCUUAACUGUGGGCGUGCGGGCGAUACGGGCAGACUGGAGUACUGCAGGGGAGACUGGAAUUCCUGGUGUAGCGGUGGAAUGCGCAGAUAUCAGGAGGAACACCGGUGGCGAAGGCGGGUCUCUGGGCAGUAACUGACGCUGAGGAGCGAAAGCGUGGGGAGCGAACAGGAUUAGAUACCCUGGUAGUCCACGCCGUAAACGGUGGGUACUAGGUGUGGGUUUCCUUCCUUGGGAUCCGUGCCGUAGCUAACGCAUUAAGUACCCCGCCUGGGGAGUACGGCCGCAAGGCUAAAACUCAAAGGAAUUGACGGGGGCCCGCACAAGCGGCGGAGCAUGUGGAUUAAUUCGAUGCAACGCGAAGAACCUUACCUGGGUUUGACAUGCACAGGACGCCGGCAGAGAUGUCGGUUCCCUUGUGGCCUGUGUGCAGGUGGUGCAUGGCUGUCGUCAGCUCGUGUCGUGAGAUGUUGGGUUAAGUCCCGCAACGAGCGCAACCCUUGUCUCAUGUUGCCAGCACGUUAUGGUGGGGACUCGUGAGAGACUGCCGGGGUCAACUCGGAGGAAGGUGGGGAUGACGUCAAGUCAUCAUGCCCCUUAUGUCCAGGGCUUCACACAUGCUACAAUGGCCGGUACAAAGGGCUGCGAUGCCGUGAGGUGGAGCGAAUCCUUUCAAAGCCGGUCUCAGUUCGGAUCGGGGUCUGCAACUCGACCCCGUGAAGUCGGAGUCGCUAGUAAUCGCAGAUCAGCAACGCUGCGGUGAAUACGUUCCCGGGCCUUGUACACACCGCCCGUCACGUCAUGAAAGUCGGUAACACCCGAAGCCGGUGGCCUAACCCUUGUGGAGGGA
rnacentral:rRNA from 1 species